rnacentral:rRNA from 1 species
UACGUAGGGUGCAAGCGUUGUUCGGAAUUACUGGGCGUAAAGGGCGCGUAGGCGGGCCUGUAUGUCGAUUGUGAAAUCCCCGGGCUUAACCUGGGAACUGCAUUUGUGACUGCAUCGCUGGAGUGCGGCAGAGGGGGAUGGAAUUCCGCGUGUAGCAGUGAAAUGCGUAGAUAUGCGGAGGAACACCGAUGGCGAAGGCAAUCCCCUGGGCCUGCACUGACGCUCAUGCACGAAAGCGUGGGGAGCAAACAGG